GCGCAACCCUUGUCCUUAGUUACCAGCACGUUAUGGUGGGCACUCUAAGGAGACUGCCGGUGACAAACCGGAGGAAGGUGGGGGAUGACGUCAAGUCAUCAUGGCCCUUACGGCCUGGGCUACACACGUGCUACAAUGGUCGGUCAAAGGGUUGCCAAGCCGCGAGGUGGAGCUAAUCCCAUAAAACCGAUCGUAGUCCGGAUCGCAGUCUGCAACUCGACUGCGUGAAGUCGGAAUCGCUAGUAAUCGUGAAUCAGAAUGUCACGGUGAAUACGUUCCCGGGCCUU
rnacentral:rRNA from 1 species